GGUGGCUCAGUGGUAGAGUGCUUGCCUUACAUGCAUGAAGCCCUAGGUUCAAUUCCUCAGCACCA
rnacentral:tRNA from 1 species